AGUGAACGCUGGCGGUAGGCCUAACACAUGCAAGUCGAACGGCAGCACAGUAAGAGCUUGCUCUUACGGGUGGCGAGUGGCGGACGGGUGAGGAAUACAUCGGAAUCUACUUUUUCGUGGGGGAUAACGUAGGGAAACUUACGCUAAUACCGCAUACGACCUACGGGUGAAAGCAGGGGAUCUUCGGACCUUGCGCGAUUGAAUGAGCCGAUGUCGGAUUAGCUAGUUGGCGGGGUAAAGGCCCACCAAGGCGACGAUCCGUAGCUGGCCCGAGAGGAUGAUCAGCCACACUGGAACUGAGACACGGUCCAGACUCCUACGGGAGGCAGCAGUGGGGAAUAUUGGACAAUGGGCGCAAGCCUGAUCCAGCCAUACCGCGUGGGUGAAGAAGGCCUUCGGGUUGUAAAGCCCUUUUGUUGGGAAAGAAAAGCAGCAGGUUAAUACCCCGCUGUUCUGACGGUACCCAAAGAAUAAGCACCGGCUAACUUCGUG
rnacentral:rRNA from 1 species